rnacentral:rRNA from 1 species
GACGAACGCUGGCGGCGUGCUUAACACAUGCAAGUCGAACGAAGAGCGAUGGAAGCUUGCUUCUAUCAAUCUUAGUGGCGAACGGGUGAGUAACGCGUAAUCAACCUGCCCUUCAGAGGGGGACAACAGUUGGAAACGACUGCUAAUACCGCAUACGAUCUAAUCUCGGCAUCGAGGAUAGAUGAAAGGUGGCCUCCACAUGUAAGCUAUCACUGAAGGGGGGGACUGCGUCUGAUUAGCUAGUUGGAGGGGUAACGGCCCACCAAGGCGAUGAUCAGUAGCCGGUCUGAGAGGAUGAACGGCCACAUUGGGACUGAGACACGGCCCAGACUCCUACGGGAGGCAGCAGUGGGGAAUCUUCCGCAAUGGACGAAAGUCUGACGGAGCAACGCCGCGUGAGUGAUGACGGCCUUCGGGUUGUAAAGCUCUGUUAAUCGGGACGAAAGGCCUUCUUGCGAAUAGUGAGAAGGAUUGACGGUACCGGAAUAGAAAGCCACGGCUAACUACGUGCCAGCCGCCGCAGUAA